UACGUUCACAAGUUCCUGUUCCGAAAGGCUCGGGAAAUCUUUGAAACCGUAUCGUGAUGGGGAUAGAACAUUGCAAUUAUUGUUCUUCAACGAGGAAUGCCUAGUAAGCGCGAGUCAUCAUCUCGCGUUGAUUACGUCCCUGCCCUUUGUACACACCGCCCGUCGCUCCUACCGAUUGAACGUGCUGGUGAAGAGUUAGGACUGGAUUGUUGGCUAGGUCUCCUGGUCGGCUGUUCGGGAAUUUCUUUAAACCCUCCCGUUUAGAGGAAGGAGAAGUCGUAACAAGGUUUCCGUUAAAGAAUUACAUUCACCAGCGGAUAAGAGGGCCAGUGAAAAGCUGCUUUGCCCUAGUGAGUGCUCCUGCACUUGCGACACUGUCAAAUUGCCGGGACCUCUCGCCAAGCCAAUGGUACCGCCUGGGCUCUGAAAGGAUCUCUGGCACCCGCGGCGAAAAGUC
rnacentral:rRNA from 1 species